GCCGCCCGGACCUCAUUACCAUAAUCUGCCUGGCAACAGGCCGCGGCGCCGCACGCUGAUUGGCUGAAACGCCUCCGCCCGCGAAGAUAGGACACAAAAGUCCUCAAGAAAAGACUCGGAGGCGGCCAGGAAAUACUCCUUAUUGUCAAAGCUCAUGUGAUGUUAUUCAGGUGCAUCCAACUGUUAUGUAUUCCAGGUGCGCCCAGGCACCUGGCCAGCUCAACCUGAAACAGAGGCGUUUUCUUCAAAGCAGCAGAUUUACACAGUAAGGUGGACUAGAAGAGAGACAACAGGACACCUUCAGCCCGUUGUAAGAAGAUAGUACGAUGCAAAAGGGUGAGUGCUUACUAAAUAUUUUCUGCAAUGCAGCCUCUCCUUCCUCUUCCCCCCAGGGUCUUGACUAUGCCUUUCGAGUUCCCUGCAUCAGGUUAAGUGUUUGCUACAGCUCCUGCUAUUCUGCCUUGAGAUGCUGCCAGUGCCCAAAGCCUCGGAUCCAUCUGGAGAGAGAAAAUGAGCAGCAUAAACACCCGAUUCCUGUGCUGUUUUCCCUCAUGCCUGCAAUUACUCCUUUUAUCUCUGUUUUUAAGGUGGAAGACUGAGUUGCAAGACUGCAGUAACCCUAGACUUCCACAAAGAAAUUUUGCAGCCAAAUAUAGAUGUCCAAUUCCAGAGCAGCCUCAUGGAAGGAGUUUGGCUCUUACACGCUGGUGUAUCUGCAGCGUAGGACUAGGAGAAGGCUUUGUUACUGGAGGUGAGAAUGAAGCUGCGGUCAUACCUCGUGCUUAUCUGUGAGACUUCCCCAAAAGUUGCCAGAUUGAAAUUGCUUUUCGGAAAAAUGAAGAUUAACACUGUUGUAAUCAAGGUUGUCUCAAUAAAAAUACUCCAAA